GCGGGUUUAGCUCAGUUGGGAGAGCGUCAGACUGAAAUCAACUUCAGCUAGACAAAAAGGUCAAAUCUGAAGGUCAUGUGUUUGAUCCAUAUAAACCGCA